GCGGCUCUUCAGCCACGCGAAACGUUCCCACUCGCGGCCCUGCACGAGGAAGUACUCCUCCAGCAUCGCCAGGCUCACCACCGGC
rnacentral:tRNA from 1 species